rnacentral:lncRNA from 1 species
UGCUUGGUACAUUCACAUUUAGAAUUGCUGUAUCUUCUUGGUGGAUUGUCUCUUUUAUCAUUAGAUAAUAUCCUUCUCUGUCCCUGUUAAUUUUCUUUACUUAGCACUCUACAUUUUUAAUUAAUUCACAUGGCAAAGCAUUUCAGAAACCACAGCAACUCUUGGACUGUAAAGUUCUGUCUACUGAACAGACCAUUGGAAGCACAGGCUUCCUUCUCUUCACCCUUCUUGCUCUACGUGCUCUUCUUAAACCCACCCUACC